UGGGGGAGAUUGCACAAUGGGCGAAAGCCUGAUGCAGCGACGCCGCGUGGGGGAUGAAGGCCUUCGGGUUGUAAACUUCUUUUGCUCUGAACAAGGCGCACCAUGGGGUGUGUUGUGUGUAGGGGUUGAUUAGCGCCGGCUAACUACGUGCCAGCAGCCGCGGUAAUACGUAGGGCGCGAGCGUUGUCCGGAAUUAUUGGGCGUAAAGGGCUUGUAGGUGGCUGGUUGCGUCUGUCGUGAAAGCUCAUGGCUUAACUGUGGGUUUGCGGUGGGUACGGGCUGGCUUGAGUGCAGUAGGGGAGGCUGGAAUUCCUGGUGUAGCGGUGGAAUGCGCAGAUAUCAGGAGGAAUACCGGUGGAGAAGGCGGGUCUCUGGGCUGUUACUGACACUGAGGAGCGAAAGCAUGGGGAGCGAACAGG
rnacentral:rRNA from 1 species